AAAAGGUGGCUAUGCUACCGCUUUUGGAUGGGCCCGCGGCGCACUAGCUAGUUGGUGGGGUAAAGGCUUACCAAGGCAAUGAUGCGUAGCCGAACUGAGAGGUUGAUCGGCCACAUUGGGACUGAGACACGGCCCAAACUCCUACGGGAGGCAGCAGUAGGGAAUCUUCCACAAUGGGCGAAAGCCUGAUGGAGCAACGCCGCGUGGGUGAAGAAGGUCUUCGGAUCGUAAAACCCUGUUGUUAGAGAAGAAAGUGCGUGAGAGUAACUGUUCACGUUUCGACGGUAUCUAACCAGAAAGCCACGGCUAACUACGUGCCAGCAGCCGCGGUAAUACGUAGGUGGCAAGCGUUAUCCGGAUUUAUUGGGCGUAAAGGGAACGCAGGCGGUCUUUUAAGUCUGAUGUGAAAGCCUUCGGCUUAACCGGAGUAGUGCAUUGGAAACUGGGAGACUUGAGUGCAGAAGAGGAGAGUGGAACUCCAUGUGUAGCGGUGAAAUGCGUAGAUAUAUGGAAGAACACCAGUGGCGAAAGCGGCUCUCUGGUCUGUAACUGACGCUGAGGUUCGAAAGCGUGGGUAGCAAACAGGAUUAGAUACCCUGGUAGUCCACGCCGUAAACGAUGAAUGCUAAGUGUUGGAGGGUUUCCGCCCUUCA
rnacentral:rRNA from 1 species